GGAAACUGCCUGAUGGAGGGGGAUAACUACUGGAAACGGUAGCUAAUACCGCAUAACGUCGCAAGACCAAAGAGGGGGACCCUCGGGCCUCUUGCCAUCGGAUGUGCCCAGAUGGGAUUAGCUUGUUGGUGGGGUAACGGCUCACCAAGGCGACGAUCCCUAGCUGGUCUGAGAGGAUGACCAGCCACACUGGAACUGAGACACGGUCCAGACUCCUACGGGAGGCAGCAGUGGGGAAUAUUGCACAAUGGGCGCAAGCCUGAUGCAGCCAUGCCGCGUGUAUGAAGAAGGCCUUCGGGUUGUAAAGUACUUUCAGCGGGGAGGAAGGGAGUAAAGUUAAUACCUUUGCUCAUUGACGUUACCCGCAGAAGAAGCACCGGCUAACUCCGUGCCAGCAGCCGCGGUAAUACGGAGGGUGCAAGCGUUAAUCGGAAUUACUGGGCGUAAAGCGCACGCAGGCGGUUUGUUAAGUCAGAUGUGAAAUCCCCGGGCUCAACCUGGGAACUGCAUCUGAUACUGGCAAGCUUGAGUCUCGUAGAGGGGGGUAGAAUUCCAGGUGUAGCGGUGAAAUGCGUAGAGAUCUGGAGGAAUACCGGUGGCGAAGGCGGCCCCCUGGACGAAGACUGACGCUCAGGUGCGAAAGCGUGGGGAGCAAACAGGAUUAGAUACCCUGGUAGUCCACGCCGUAAACGAUGUCGACUUGGAGGUUGUGCCCUUGAGGCGUGGCUUCCGGAGCUAACGCGUUAAGUCGACCGCCUGGGGAGUACGGCCGCAAGGUUAAAACUCAAAUGAAUUGACGGGGGCCCGCACAAGCGGUGGAGCAUGUGGUUUAAUUCGAUGCAACGCGAAGAACCUUACCUGGUCUUGACAUCCACGGAAGUUUUCAGAGAUGAGAAUGUGCCUUCGGGAACCGUGAGACAGGUGCUGCAUGGCUGUCGUCAGCUCGUGUUGUGAAAUGUUGGGUUAAGUCCCGCAACGAGCGCAACCCUUAUCCUUUGUUGCCAGCGGUCCGGCCGGGAACUCAAAGGAGACUGCCAGUGAUAAACUGGAGGAAGGUGGGGAUGACGUCAAGUCAUCAUGGCCCUUACGACCAGGGCUACACACGUGCUACAAUGGCGCAUACAAAGAGAAGCGACCUCGCGAGAGCAAGCGGACCUCAUAAAGUGCGUCGUAGUCCGGAUUGGAGUCUGCAACUCGACUCCAUGAAGUCGGAAUCGCUAGUAAUCGUGGAUCAGAAUGCCACGGUGAAUACGUUCCCGGGCCUUGUACACACCGCCCGUCACACCAUGGGAGUGGGUUGCAAAAGAAGUAGGUAGCUUAACCUUCGGGAGGGCGCUUACCACUUUGUGAUUCAUGACUGGGGUGAAGUCGUAACAAGGUAACCGUAGGGGAACCUGCGGUUG
rnacentral:rRNA from 1 species